rnacentral:rRNA from 1 species
AUUGAACGCUGGCGGCAGGCCUAACACAUGCAAGUCGAACGGUAACAGCAAACAUCUUGCUGUUUCGCUGACGAGUGGCUGACGGGUUAGUCAUGUCUUGGAAACUGCCUGAUGGAGGGGGAUAACUACUGGAAACGGUAGCUAAUACCGCAUAACGUCGCACUUCCAAUGAGGGGGACCUUCGUGCCUCUUGCCAUCGGAUGUGCCCCUAUGGGAUUAGCUAGUAGGUGGGGGACCGGCUCACCUAGGCGACGAUCGCUAGCUGGUCUGAGAGGAUGAACAGAUAGACGGGAAGUGAGAAAGGGCAGAGACACUUACGGGAGGCAGCAGUGGGGAAUAUUGCGCAAUGGGGGAAAGGCUGAUGCAGGAAUGCGGGGGGUAUGAAGAAGGAGUAAGGGUGGUAAAGUAAUGUCAGCGGGGAGGAAGGGAGGAAAGUUAAUACGUGUAGUCAUUGACGGUACCGGGAGAAGAAGCACCGGCUAACUCCGUG